UACGUAGGGUGCAAGCGUUGUCCGGAAUUAUUGGGCGUAAAGAGCUCGUAGGCGGUUUGUCGCGUCGGCUGUGAAAACCUGGGGCUCAACCCCGGGCCUGCAGCCGAUACGGGCAAACUAGAAUUCAGUAGGGGAGACUGGAAUUCCUGGUGUAGCGGUGAAAUGCGCAGAUAUCAGGAGGAACACCGGUGGCGAAGGCGGGUCUCUGGGCAGUAACUGACGCUGAGGAGCGAAAGCGUGGGGAGCGAACAGG
rnacentral:rRNA from 1 species